AAGUUCAGACGUUAGGAUUCAGGGUUGGAAUAUCACCAGUCUUAACUGGAGAGGGCAAGACUAGCACCUUUUGUAGGUGUACCCUUCUACUCGGAAGUCAGAGUUGGUGCCACCUAAGUGGGUUCCUGAUGCAGGGGAUUUGAGGACAUCCUCUUCCUUCAACUGUAAGUCACCAAGGGCUCUGGACAUUGUGAAAAUUUCCCUUUCAGUUACGAGGGCCGAACGUUCCUGUCCAUAAAAACAGAAGCCUGGCCCGGGCCACUCUCUUGUGUGAAUCUGCAAAGCCAGCUCCUCUCCAUUGGUUUGGUUUUGUUUCUUGUAUCUCUGGGAAGGCAGGCAGACAGCACGGUCACCUGUGAAUGCAGCCACAAUUGGCUUAGCUGCCUCACUGAUAAAUGUGCCCCGAGUAAGCUACAGAGGGAUUAUCAGCGUUCCCAGCAGCUAAAGGUAUAAUCAAGUGUAAAGGAGGCAUGUGUCACACCGACUUUCAGAGAGAAGACCCUCCCCAUAAGACAGAUGUCUUUGAUUAUGCAGUGCAGCUUGCCCAUGUAAACCUCUUGCAUUGUUUGGAGAUCCUAUCCCAUGCCAAGGAUCUAGCCACCCACAAGCAGGCACAUUGCUGUCCAAACAGAUGGACAAGGGAGAUAGGCAAGCCAAAGCCCAUGGACGAACAUGAAAUGAAUUGGUGCAGAGAAGCCAAAGGUAUUGGAAAUGAAUGCUAGUCUUUGCUGUUCAGUUUCCAGUGUAAGGAUGGACCAGUGUGGAUGAGACUUCGAUACUGAGCUGCAAACAAAGGAAAAAGUGAAUGAGUACAAUAAGCUGGAUGUUUCAACAGGUGCAUGAAAGCCCACACGAGCAUGAGUAGCUCCGAAAUGCUUAAGUCAGUGCACCUUUAUGUCAUCUUCAGCGGAGUCAGUUCUGAAAAGACACCCCUGGGCCAAUCACCCAUCAACAAUCAUUCAUUCUUUAUUCAAAAAAUAUUUGUCGAGCAUCUAACAUGUUGGAGACACUGGUCGGCACCAGGACCUUGUGGAACGAGCCAACUCCCUCCUGUGACAGCAAUGGUUCUUCAAGGUUUCUCCCCUGGGAACUGCGGAAGAUUUCCCCAGCAAAAGGUAGAAGCUUGAUGUCUUAUAGAUGAAGACUGGGGAGACUGGGAAGACCCAUCCAGGGUACUGACACUGGUCUUCGGGGGCCAGGAUCCCUGCUCAUGCCUCAAGCUACCUGUAAUGAAAAGUCCAGUGUCUGCCACCUGUCUCACAGAUCUGUCCUGAGGAUUAAUGAGAUCAUGUCUGUAGAUAAAGCCUGAGAAGUCUUCAGAAGGAAAUUACAGGAGGAUUCUUAUUUUGGGUGGCCACCUUGCAGAGGACCAUAGAAUUUUGGGUGAGCCCCUCAAUGCCUGGAUUUACUGUUGGAGAGACUGUGCAGUCUACAUUAGAUAAUUUACUGUGAAGCGUGGAAACAUUUGAAAAGGAAACCAUGCCUGACCCCGGCUAAUGGGUGGAUAUUUUAAGACAUCUUAACUAAGGUCCUUCUGUUCCUGAGAGAUGCCACAUCCUCUUUCAUCAUAAUAUUCUUCAAAAAUAUGAAUUCAUUUAUUCAGUUUUUAUUGAGUGAUUUCUCUGCAUCAGGCACCCCAGAUUCUGGUUCUUAUGGAACUUACCUUCUAGUUGGGAGAAAAAGACACAAACAAGUAACAGGAUCAUCAAGCACUGAUAAUGACAAUGAAGGAACUGGUAGAUUGUGAUAAGAAGCUAAGGUUUGGAACUCACUUGAAUCAGAGUCCAACCUGGCCCUCCGCUUGACCUUAGGUGAGGGAACGGAGGCUUAAAAAGAUUAAAUAAUUUGUCCAAGACCACAUGGCUCAUAACUGGUGGAGCUACAAUUUAGAACCAGAUACUUGUUUCCAGAGCCUUCUGCUUUUGGGCCCAUGAUGAGGACAUGAAAGAGCAAAAUCUUCUGGAAGACUAGAAAGUUGUAUCCUUUUGCAUGUGGAGUCUUUAAAAGAUGUACCUUCAGACGGUGGCUUCUUUACCAACAGUUCUUAUAUGGCAGGCGAAGGAUGUAACACUGAAAGGAUAGAUGAGCAAGUAAAAUCCCACCUCUUAUUGCUUGUGAGGAAAUCCAUUAAUGUAUUUACUCUCUAUCCUGAUGGUGGACAAAUGGGACAACCAUAGAGAGCAGAAACUGGAAGUCCAGUCUCUUGACCCCUUUACAAUAGGUCACUCUUAGGGUGACAAGGGGCAAAACCAAUACACCAGAAAAUCUAGCAGGGUCAGAAGGUGAAUAAUUUCUUCUUCCUUCAAGGUCCCACUGUGGUCCUCUGGGUUAAGAAUCUGACUGCAGCAGCUCAGGUUGCUGUGGGAGCUUGGGUUUGAUCCCCUGCUCAGCCCAGCGGUUUAAAGAAUCCAGCACUGCUGUGGCUCUGGCAUAGAUCUCAGCUGUGGCUCAGAUUUAAUCCCUGGCCCGGGAACUUCCCUAUACUGGGAGUGUGGCCAUAACAAUAAAAAUAAAUAAAUAAAUAAAUAAAGAUUCAUUUCUUACCCCUGCUGCCUGUUCUUUAGAAGCCUUUUGCUCCUGACGGCUUCAGGCAGUGACGUGAACUGAUGGAGCCUCUCACACCUGGAAUGUUCAUGGUUGCUGUGUAUGUAGGAGAAGAAAACUUAGGAAAUCGUUCACUGGCUCUUAAAAAUUCCUUGCCUGUAAGUGACACCUGUCACUUUUGCUCAGGAUUCAUUUUUUAAGGCAAAUCACAUAAACCCAGCUAGCUUCAAGUGCAUGGGGAAUUUGCUUAGAAGGAGAGGAAACUGAAACAUUGGUAAAUAGCAUUAAUGGCUCUAGAAUAAAAUCCCUCAAUCAUACUCAAAUACGCUUAACCAAAACCAGAUAAAAUUGUUCAGUUAAUAAAAUAGAUCUUGAUUAUUUCAAGCAGAUGAUCACAUAUUCCACCAUCAUGUUUCCCUUGGCCUUUGUUUGUCUGUUGGUUGGUCUUUCCCACACAGCCCUGAGCUUUUGAAGGCAGUGAGGGGUCUUAUUUAUCUUUGAUUAUUUAGUGUCUAGUGCAGUGUUAGCAGCAUAUGCCUUGGUCAGCUUGGGCUGUGAUAACAAAACAAACAAUAGAAAUCAAUUUUCUCACAGUUCUGGAAGCUAAAAGUAAGAUCAAGGUGCCAGCAUGGUUGGUUUCUGGUGAGAACUCUCUUCCUGGUUUGCAGAUGACUGUCUCCUCAUUCUGUCUUCCAAUGGCCCUUCCUUGAUCCACGCACAUGGGGGAGAAAGAACUCUCUGGUAUCUCUUCUUAAAGGAUACUAAUCCUAUUGGAUCAGGGCCCCAUCCUUAUGAUCUCAUUUAACCUUACUUACUUUCGAACUCCAAAUAAAGCUGCACAGGGCUUAGGGCUUCAGCAUAUGAAUUUUAGGGGGAUACAAACGUUCAGUCUCUAACAGCAUGGUAAGCCUCAUUGUUUCUUGAAUGAGUGGGUAGAUGAGUGAAUGAUUCCAGCUAACCAAUAGUCUUCCUUUAGUGCCCAGCCCCUGAGCACAUGCCACUUUGCCCAUCUUCCUCUCCCUUGCACUCUUUCUUCACUUGUGAGGUCCACUCAUCUUUCAAGACCCAACUAGAAUAUUGCUGCCCUAGGGAAACCCUUUCUGAUCUACACAACCUCUUGUACCUUCCCAAGCCUAACUAGUUGUUUUGUCUUCUUCUGGAACACUUGAUACCUCCCUCAGUUAGGAGAUAAUUAUAAUUUGGUUUUACAUAGUAAAUUGUCUCCCAUACUGGUCUCUGAGCCCCUACAGAGUAGGGACUAGUAAGUGGGAGGAGCCUGGUACUAGCCAUGGGACCUGACUCAUGUACAUAUUCAAAAUUUACUGGUCAAAUAAACAACUGCACUAAUGGGUGUUCUGAAUUAUAUGCCUUUUUGACAUGUUACUCUUCUACUGUAUGCGUGUCUGUGUAUGUGUGUGUAUACUCCUAGGUUUGAUAUGCAGUUUACCCAUGAGACUGGGGUUGUCAGUAACUGCAGGGGGAUUAGAACCCUCGCUAUGCUUGUCAUUAAAGCACAUUCACAUGCAUACAAUGAAGGCAACUGGUCUUGUUGUCUCAUCUUUGCUUGAUUCAUUCUCAGCUAAGAUGUCCAUCUCACACUUGCAGGUUUGAUGCUGUCUCUUCAGAAUCUGAGCAGUCCUCCAGGAUGGCAGGGAAAACACCUAUUCACUGCUGUGUCCCCAGAGCCCAGCACAAAGCAUGGCAUGUAGUGAGUGCUUACUAAAGGUUUGUUGAAUGACUGAAUCAAGCAACCAAGGCCCUAGAAAGACAGGUCAAAGAACAUCCUUUUAAGAGACUUAGGACUUUAAAGAGGAAGAGGAUCUCGGCAUCAUAGAUGCCUUGACUUGGAAGAUACUAUGUCAGAUGUGCUCAGCUGGAUUCCAAACUGUGUCACUGCAAAAGCUUCGAGAAGAUAAUGACCAUGUCUCCUAUCAUGAAGACCUGGCGAGUGGAGAGUCUCCAGUAUGUCAGCCUGCAGGAGCUUCACUGGCUAGAACAGGGACUACGACUGAAGGCAAGGCCUGAGCCCUUUCCUCUUUGUAUCCCUGGUGGAACAGGCUAACAAUUCUGUCUGUGGAAGGCAUGGACGGCUGUGGAGAUGGUGUACCCUUAGCUUUGCCCACAAGGUUCCAAGGACAGAGCAACUCCCUAUCAAAAUAGAAACUCAAUAAAUAAUUCGUGGCAAAGAAUGAAACUGUGGGGUUAUGUGCAAAUAUAAAGCAUGUGAGCGGGUAUGCCCGUUGUACGUGGAGCCAGGAAGGAGGCGGGGCAGCCAUCCGCUGGUUUCUCCUGCCUGCCUCUGCAAACUACUCUGGUUACCCGGCCUCCACCGCAGGCCCUUGGCAGGGGCGGUGCGCUGGGUCUGCGCGGUGCUGGCAGCCGCAGAGUGGAGGGUGAACCCGAUGGCCUCUUCAGUCUAUUUAGCAGGCUCUGAGAUGUGUAAGUACAUUAUCUGCAAGGCUGGUAAAGAGCGCUUGGGGAGGAUUUGUGGGUCUGUGGGAAGGACAAAGAAAAAUGUUUUCUAAUAAAUUAUUCACCGUCUC
rnacentral:lncRNA from 1 species